rnacentral:sRNA from 1 species
AUGUGCUCUCUCUCGAAAUGUUUCCCCUUUCUUUCUCGACAAAGCUCUUUCUCCAGAAAACCUAAAAUGCUCCCUCUUGCUUGUCCUUCGAUUCUCCCAAUCACGAGAUUGCUUUUCUUCAUUGAGCUGUCGCAGCUGAGUUGCAGUGUGGCAGUAGCAUUUUGAUCUUUUGACCAUCGCGAGUUGGAAGCUUUGAGCUUGUUUUAUUGAUUGCUUUCUUUGUCGAAGCCUAGAGCUGUGGUUGUCCCUGUCUCGAGCCCUUUCCACUUUCGUUGUCCAUCGCGCUCUGGUUCUUCAUCCUCUCUCUCGAGCUGUCUCCUUCAUCAAACACUGUUGUUGGGCGUCAUUGUUCGGUUCGGUUCGGUGUUGGAAAGAAUACUUUCAUCUGCUGUGGUUGGAGUGUUAGGAAGCAUCCAUUGAGGGUACUGUGUGGCGGUUUAAGAAGAUUGUUACUCGUAUUAAGGACGAAGACAUAUAUUAUUUGGAGUUACGAAGGCCCUUAGUGAAGGAAGCAAAGGUGAGUGAGUUCCUUUGGACUAUUACAAUUCUGUCUUUGUUUGAUUCAGUGUUGUGUUGAUCUGUAUGGCUGUUAUUAGUUGUCUUCAAUUCACAUGUUGUUCAUCGUUAUCCUUUACUGUCUUGUGUUCUGAGUUUUUAAUCAUUGUUUCUUUGAUUAAUUAGGUUUCGAAAUCCUGUUGAAUUUGUGUUGGGUAUAUAGGGAAGUAUUGUAUGAUUUCAUUACAUGAAAUAAGGUUACAUGUUAGCAGUAAGAAACCUGUCAUAACAAUUUGAAGUCAAAUAACCACAUAUAACAAGAAAAAUAACGUACUAUCAAUAUGCCGAAUCCAAUGUCUCAAAUAACUUCCCAAUAAUCAACAAAUUUACUAAUAAUAAAGCAGUCCAACAAUGACAAAGGUAAAAGAUUUCAGUGAUUAAGAAUAUAUAGAGGAUGAUGGAGAAACUAAUAAAAAAUUUAAGCAAAAUAAUAUUAAGCCAGAGAUGAAGUUCAAGUUGUUGAAUGUGACGAGGUUGGAACACAAACAGAGACAACACUGACACAAUAACCACACAAAAAUAUUAGCAAAAUUUAUGCUUCGUAGAUCAUAUAGAAUACCAAAGAUGACAUGAACAAAUAUUCUUAACAAUAGACCACUAACACGCAAAAUGUAUACUAACAAUGUCCUCAACCUUGCCGAAGCAUAAGUUAAAAUAAGAUAUAAUUCAUUUCCUAACUAAGAUAUAAUUCAUUUCCUGAUCAUGUGGGUAGAAUUGGGUGGAGUGGUAUAAAUUCAAAACUUUGAGUCUGGAAAUCUGCUGCCACAGGGCAUGUAUUUUUGCCCAAAAGAAAAGAAUUUUGUCAAAAGAUGAAGGGUAAAUUUCCUUAAGUCACACUAUACUGCUCAUCUAUUCAUUAUGCUAAUCAAUCAUUGUUUGUCCAUGACAACAGGCAAAUUAAUACUAUGUUGUUAUAUGAUAUCUCAAAGCAAAGAAAAGAGCCUGAGUAAUGAUUC